rnacentral:rRNA from 1 species
CAUGCAGUCGAACGGCAGCACGGGGGCAACCCUGGUGGCGAGUGGCGAACGGGUGAGUAACAUAUCGGAACAUAUCCGGAAGUGGGGGAUAACGUACCGAAAGGUACGCUAAUACCGCAUAUGCCCUGAGGGGGAAAGGAGGGGAUCGCAAGACCUUUCGCUUUCGGAGUGGCCGAUAUCGGAUUAGCUAGUUGGUGAGGUAAAGGCUCACCAAGGCGACGAUCCGUAGCUGGUCUGAGAGGACGACCAGCCACACUGGAACUGAGACACGGUCCAGACUCCUACGGGAGGCAGCAGUGGGGAAUUUUGGACAAUGGGGGCAACCCUGAUCCAGCCAUGCCGCGUGAGUGAAGAAGGCCUUCGGGUUGUAAAGCUCUUUCAGACGGAAAGAAACGGUCACGGCCAACACCCGUGACUAAUGACGGUACCGUCAGAAGAAGCACCGGCUAACUACGUGCCAGCAGCCGCGGUAAUACGUAGGGUGCGAGCGUUAAUCGGAAUUACUGGGCGUAAAGCGUGCGCAGGCGGUUUUGUAAGACAGACGUGAAAUCCCCGGGCUUAACCUGGGAACUGCGUUUGUGACUGCAAGACUAGAGUGUAGCAGAGGGGGGUAGAAUUCCACGUGUAGCAGUGAAAUGCGUAGAUAUGUGGAGGAAUACCGAUGGCGAAGGCAGCCCCCUGGGCUAACACUGACGCUCAUGCACGAAAGCGUGGGGAGCAAACAGGAUUAGAUACCCUGGUAGUCCACGCCCUAAACGAUGUCAACUAGGUGUUGGGGAAGGAGACUUCUUUAGUACCGCAGCUAACGCGAUAAGUUGACCGCCUGGGGAGUACGGUCGCAAGAUUAAAACUCAAAGGAAUUGACGGGGACCCGCACAAGCGGUGGAUUAUGUGGAUUAAUUCGAUGCAACGCGAAAAACCUUACCUACCCUUGACAUGUCAGGAAGAUACCAGAGAUGGAUUGUGCCCGAAAGGGAACCUGAACACAGGUGCUGCAUGGCUGUCGUCAGCUCGUGUCGUGAGAUUGUUGGGGUUAGUCCCGCAACGAGCGC